GAUGAACGCUGGCGGCGUGCCUAACACAUGCAAGUCGAGCGAACAGACGAGAGUUCUUGCUCUCUUUGCCGGUAGCCGCGUGCGGGAGGGUUACGCAUCGGUAACCUACUUAGAAGACACGUAUGACUUCGGGCAACCAUACCGAAUACCGGAUAAGAUUGAACUUCGGGGGGAUUCAUAGUUAACGAAAUUUCUUCUGCCUCGUUGAGAUUGACCCGCGGGGUAUUAACUUGGUGGUGAGGUAACGGCUCACCAAGGCAACGAUGCAGAGCCGACCUGAGAGGGUGAUCGGCCACACUGGAACUGAGACACGGCCCAGACUCCUACGGGAGGCAGCAGUAGGGAAUAUUCGGCAAUGGGCGAAAGCCUGACGGAGCAAUGCCGAGUGCGUGAAGAAGGUGUUCGGAUCGUAAAACUCUGUUGUAAGGGAAGAAGAGGUACGUGAGUAGCUGAACGUGUCUUGACGGUACCUGAAGAGAAAGCACCGGCUAACUACGUG
rnacentral:rRNA from 1 species